AAGACGACCACGUGGAUAGGCUGGAUGUGCAAGCGCGGUAACGCGCUGAGCUGACCAGUACUAAUCGCUCGAUCGGCUUGAUCGCU
rnacentral:rRNA from 1 species